CCUACGGGCGGCAGCAGUGAGGAAUAUUGGUCAAUGGACGAGAGUCUGAACCAGCCAAGUCGCGUGAAGGAUGACUGCCCUAUGGGUUGUAAACUUCUUUUAUAUGGGAAUAAAAUGUUCCACGUGUGGGAUUUUGUAUGUACCAUAUGAAUAAGGAUCGGCUAACUCCGUGCCAGCAGCCGCGGUAAUACGGAGGAUCCGAGCGUUAUCCGGAUUUAUUGGGUUUAAAGGGAGCGUAGGUGGAUUGUUAAGUCAGUUGUGAAAGUUUGCGGCUCAACCGUAAAAUUGCAGUUGAAACUGGCAGUCUUGAGUACAGUAGAGGUGGGCGGAAUUUGUGGUGUAGCGGUGAAAUGCUGAGAUAUCACGAAGAACUCCGAUUGCGAAGGCAGUUCACUGGACUGCAACUGACACUGAGGCUCGAAAGUGUGGGUAUCAAACAGGAUUAGAUACCCGGGUAGUC
rnacentral:rRNA from 1 species